rnacentral:rRNA from 1 species
UACGUAGGGGGCUAGCGUUGUCCGGAAUCAUUGGGCGUAAAGCGCGUGUAGGCGGUCCGGUAAGUCCGCUGUGAAAGUCGGGGGCUCAACCUCGAGACGCCGGUGGAAACCGUAAAGCUAGAGUCCGGAAGAGGAGAGUGGAAUUCCUGGUGUAGCGGUGAAAUGCGCAGAUAUCGGGAGGAACACCGGUGGCGAAGGCGGGUCUCUGGGCCGAUACUGACGCUGAGGAGCGAAAGCGUGGGGAGCGAACAGG